GUCCUUUUGCUAAUAAUUUAAGGUCUAGCCUGCCCACUGAAAAUUUAAAUGGCCGUGGUAUUUUGACCGUGCUAAGGUAGCAUAAUCAUUAGUUUUUUAAUUAAAAACUGGAAUGAAAGGUUGGAUAAGAAAAUGACUGUCUCUAUUAAAUUUUAUUAUAACUUUAUUUUUAAGUUAAAAAGCUUAAUUAAAAUUAAAAGACGAGAAGACCCUAUAGAGUUUUAUUAUUAAUUAAAAAUUAUAUUUUAGAAUUAAUUUAUAUAUUUUCUUUAAUAAUUUAAUUGGGGUGAUUGAAAAAUUUAAUAAACUUUUUUUAUUUUUUAACAUAAAUUUAUGAAUAAAUGAUCCAAUAUUUUUGAUUAUAAGAUAUAAUUACCUUAGGGAUAACAGCGUAAUUUUUUUAAAGAGUUCAUAUUAAAAAAAA
rnacentral:rRNA from 1 species